GACUGGACAAACUUUUGUUAUUGUGCAGCUUCACAGCUCAUUUCAUCUCAAUCAUCUGCUUGAGCAUCCUGUAGACAGCAGGAGCCAGCAGCAACCUCAGAACAUUUCAGUCAUCCAUGUACUCAGCUCAGCUUUUAUGGAAGCAAUUUGCAGUUGUGAAACAGAUUGUCCAGAAGAGGGGGCCAAAAACUCAAAAGAUGCAAAAAGAUUCAUUGAAACAAUAUUUAAAAGAAUAGAAGGGUCCUUUGUGAAGCCCAGAGCUCUUUCAUCUGCCCUGUGCAGCUUCCUUGUGGUGAAAGAAACUACAGUUCCACUGAGGGGGCUGAAUGGUGUGCUGGCCUCCAAAAAGAGUGCAGAGUUGUUUUGGAAAGAGACCUGCUGGCAGCUGAACAAGUGCACUUGCCCGUGAACCUCACACUAAGAACAACAGUAGAUGUAAUUUUGUACAGCUUACCCUUAAGUGGAAUUUUGGAGGACUCUCAAGCAAGGAGCUUGUAUCUGUGCCCACAUAAAGAUGCACUGACAUCAUAACAAUUUAAAAGAUAACCCAUGGUGACUAGAUUGUCAAAAAAGAAUCUAUUUUUAGGGGAAAUAAGAAUCUCACGAUUUAACUAACUUUAAUUUUGGUGUAUUCUCUGAGAAUUUCCGAAUUAUAGCACAUUUAUUCCUUAUAAAUAAAUUUAUUGAUUUUCUGUCUAUGUUUGUAUAGCCACAGCUUCAAAUGAUUACUCUGCAAAAUGGAAAACAGUUCUUGGGUUUCUCUUUACCUUGUAAAAUCAAACUUUGAGGAACUUAUUUUUACAGAUUCCUCAGGCUUUUACAUUUUAUUUUAAUCUAUCCAUUUUAGACCAGAGACAGGUUGAAUGCAUUUUAAUUAAGAAAAUGUUUUCUAGAAUAAGAAUUACCAGUAUUUAUUUAGUGCUCUCUAUGUUCCAGACACAAUCUGUGGUCUCUAAUCUUCAGAACAAGUCUAAGACAGCCUUAUUAACCCAUUAACCUCAUUUUCCCCAUUUACCCACCUCAUACACGUAUAACCUGAAUGUAAGUAAUGUCUACUGAUGAACCCCAAAGCCCAUGCCUGUAACCACCAUGUGCAUGUUUAAAUUAUUUGAGAAAGCUGUGGUUAUAAAUCUUCAGAUAAUUUAAAACAAAUUAUAAUUUAAACAUUUUCUAUUGAUUUACCUUUCAAUUGUUUAGAUAUUCCAGAGGAGGAGUAUAUCUGACACCCACUCCCAUUUCACAGGAAACCACAGUUCUUGGCACAGAAGCUUUAAAUUGGAUAAAUUGAUACCCUACCUUGUGUCAGCAGUUUUCCCUCUAGAUUUAAUAAGUAGAGACAUGAGACUGUUGCCGUGUGCCCUCGCACGUGCCAGGCUCUGAACGUCACACACAUGGUCACUGGUAUUGGUAUUUUCUAACAAGUAACCAAAUCUAUGGAGGUAACACAAGUGUAUUUCUUGCACCUAUUUCAGACUGUAACCAUUGAAGUGGCCAAGUUACUUGACAUUCCUGGUACUUCUUUUCCAAAGGGUCACUCAUGGAUCUGGGCUCUUUAUGUAAAGAAAAAUAAUACAUAUAAUUUC